GAAUUUUAGAGGUUUACUGUUGUUUUCAAGGUUGCCUUAUCAGCAGUAUUUUGGUGGCGUGUCAUCUUUGAGCAAGGAACAGUUUCUGAAGAUCAACGGCUUUCCUAACAAUUACUGGGGCUGGGGCGGAGAAGAUGAUGACAUUUACAACAGGAUAUCUUCCAGGGGGAUGUCUAUCUCACGCCCUGAUGCAGUGAUUGGAAAAUGUCGAAUGAUCCGACACGACAGAGACCGCAAGAAUGACCCAAACCCACAGAGGUUCGACAGGAUUGUGCACACCAGAGAAACCAUGAACACGGAUGGCAUCAAUUCGCUGACUUACAAAGUCGUUAAAGUAGAAAAGAAUAAAUUAUUUACAAACAUAACCGUGGAUGUCGGAAUGCCAACUAGGUAACCUCCAGAACGAUGAAAGGAAUGGUUCAGAAAUGUGUAUAUUUGUAUAUGUAGAAAUGCACAUGCAAUACAAUGUAUGCAGUCACCAAAUGUGCCUUAGCAUGCGCUGUACAUAAACAGGCUUCAGACCAGGUGUUUUGGAAUUCAGUAGCGAAGACUCAAAAGUUGUUCUGAGUGAAUACUCUUGACACAUCUAUGUGCCUUUUCCCCAGAUGCAUUCCUGUUUUGCACAGCCUCCAUUAAAUUGUAUUUGCAUUUUUUUUUAAUACGGGAGAUAGAGAUGUUUAUUUUACAAAGUACCAAAAAACCUUUUGGUUCUCUAGUAUGUUACUUUUUUUAACAAAGUUUUGAAGUUUUUGCUUGCACGGACACAUAAAUCUCCCCUUAGCAGUUUCAAACUGAUUCAGGCUUUUUUGUUUCAAAACUCAACCAAGUUUCCCGAGAGAAAGGGACGUUCUUUAAUUAAUUCCUUUUCACUUACUGAAACCUCUUUACAAUAUUGCUGUUUGUUUUCUGUGUGAAAUUAUAUUUGAUAUAAUGUACAAGUUGUCAACAUUGGUGCCCAUCUGACAUACUCCAGACCUUAGAAAGGAAUUAGUCAAAGGCAUGUCAAAGCUGCCUCAGACUGAGACUCAUUUUCAGAUGAGAAAUGGAAUAGUAAAAUAAAAUAAACGAAAGGAGCAAGGUAUUUCAUUGUGCAAUUAACAGGUUUCUUUUAAAGCAAUAUCUGUCAGCCUUAAACGUUUUAUAGGAAAUCUGAAAACAAAUGCAAAGAACGAGAACUUUUUAAUGAUAAAGUGGUGCCUGGCAUGUGCUAAUGUUGAACUCUAGCCUGGAGUUCUUGCAAUAUUGAAAUCUAUAUCUAUAUCAGACUGUUGUAUGUCACCUUCUUCAGGGUGAAUCAGUUUUCAGGUGUUGGAGCUUUUUGUUUGUCUUAUUUCUGAAUGGAUGAUUGAAGCUGCUUUACUUUUGUAUGUGUGUGAGACCAAAUAUAUGGAAAAUUCACAGAUACAAUGACUGGAAUCCCAAGAACAGAAGCUGCAACGCAGCCAAUAUUUUUUUAAUUACCUGUAGCAGUCAGUGAGAGCCAUUAGCCUCUAAGGAAACCGGAUACAACAACGUUUUGAAGGACACAAAUUACAUUAAAGUAACAUGAUCCGCAUUUUGCAUGUUGUGUCCAGUACCUUUUUUUCUAUCAACCUUGAACACAACGCUGAACACUGAUGAAUUCACUCUAUACAAAUGUAACUUUGUCUAUAAAGAGCAAGACCUGAUAUAAUCACACCAAGCUUAUCAGACACAAUUAGAAGAUUCCAGCAAACAAAGACCUCGAUUAAACUACAAAGAGCAUAUAAAAAGUUUGCAGCUGGUGUUUUCAUGCUCAGUGGAUAUGUUGCCUUGUUUAAAUGCUAUUCCAAAAUGCUUGGUAAAUAACUGCCUUUUAAAGCUCUGUCUGUGGAUACAGGCAAGUUUUUCUCUAAGACGCUUAAAUACAAAUGUUGCUUAUUUCAACAGCACAGUCUUGUGAUAAGACAGUCUCUGUAAUCAGGGUUUCGAUCACAAUAAAGGGGUCAAAAGAGAAUGCAUUCCUAUGGAUGCAGCAUGUUCAUUAUAACAUUGGGCCUUUAUAAGCAGGGUGCGUUAUACCGAGGUUUGAAGCAUUUUGUUUUAGUUUAUAAUUUACUGUGUUUGGUUUUUCCAGAGAUAACCUUGCUAUUGCUUUUUAUCUUUGUAUUUUGUGGAACAACAAUAUAUGGAAAGUAAAAGCAAACUUGAAUCCAUUAAGCUGUAUGUCCAAAGACAGUCUCAGACUGUUUUAUUUUUAUCUUGCUGUGUGUUUUUUAUGCUGCUGUUGCAAAUCAUCUCGAAUUAAAUUGGUAAAUUUCUGUGAAAAGUUAAAAAGGCCAUGAACACUAUUUGAUGUAUUUAUAUGUUAUGCAGUGCAUUUCUGCUGUGUGAAAAUUCAGCUUUUCAGAGGAGAAAAAGCCAUUGAAAAUGCAGUUGUUUUAAAUUCUUGUUGUCUCAAUUCUAUUGUUAUAUUUUGUAACAUCAAGGUUGCAUUCUUUUGGAAAUCAGAGUUAUUAUUUUUGCAUUUCCUUGUUGAGUUUGGGGGAAUUUUGGUCUUUUUUGGUGUGCUUUAAUGAAAAAAAAAACACUUUUGUUUGGAUCACAUUAAAAUUCUUUGGAGUUUGA